ACGGGUGAGUAACGCGUGGGAAUCUACCGUACCCUACGGAAUAGCUCCGGGAAACUGGAAGUAAUACCGUAUACGCCCGAAAGGGGAAAGAUUUAUCGGGGUAUGAUGAGCCCGCGUUGGAUUAGCUAGUUGGUGGGGUAAAGGCCUACCAAGGCGACGAUCCAUAGCUGGUCUGAGAGGAUGAUCAGCCACAUUGGGACUGAGACACGGCCCAAACUCCUACGGGAGGCAGCAGUGGGGAAUAUUGGACAAUGGGGGCAACCCUGAUCCAGCCGUGCCGCGUGAGUGAUGAAGGUCUUAGGAUUGUAAAGCUCUUUCACCGAUGAAGAUAAUGACGGUAGUCGGAGAAGAAGCCCCGGCAAACUUCGUGCCAGCAGCCGCAGUAAUACGAAGGGGGCUAGCGUUGUUCGGAAUUACUGGGCGUAAAGCGCACGUAGGCGGAUAAUUAAGUCAGGGGUGAAAUCCCGCAGCUCAACUGCGGAACUGCCUUUGAUACUGGUUAUCUUGAGUAUGGAAGAGGUAAGUGGAAUUGCGAGUGUAGAGGUGAAAUUCGUAGA
rnacentral:rRNA from 1 species